UACGGAGGGGGCUAGCGUUAUUCGGAAUUACUGGGCGUAAAGCGCACGUAGGCGGAUUGGAAAGUCAGAGGUGAAAUCCCAGAGCUCAACUUUGGAACUGCCUUUGAAACUCCCAGUCUUGAGGUCGAGAGAGGUGAGUGGAAUUCCGAGUGUAGAGGUGAAAUUCGUAGAUAUUCGCAAGAACACCAGUGGCGAAGGCGGCUCUCUGGGGACCACCUGACGCUGAGGCGCGAAAGCGUGGGGAGCGAACCGG
rnacentral:rRNA from 1 species